rnacentral:rRNA from 1 species
UAUUCCGGUUGAUCCUGCCGGAGGCCAUUGCUCUUGGGGUCCGAUUUAGCCAUGCUAGUCGCACGGGUUCAGACCCGUGGCAAAUAGCUCAGUAGCACGUGGCCAAUCUACCCUCCGGAUCAGCACACCCUCGGGAAACUGAGGCCAACUCUGUAUACGGCUCCCGACCUGGAAUGGUGGGAGCCAGAAACGCUCCGGCGCCGGAGGAUGAGGCUGCGGCCGAUUAGGUUGACGGUGGGGUAAUGGCCCACCGUGCCGAUAAUCGGUCUGGUCAUGAGAGUGAGAACCCAGAGACGGACUCUGAGACAAGAUUCCGGGCCCUACGGGGCGCAGCAGGCGCGAAACCUUUACACUGCACGCCAGUGCGAUAAGGGGACCCCAAGUGCGCAGGCAUAGUGCCUGCGCUUUUCUGGACUGUAGGGCGGUCCAGGAACAAGGGCUGGGCAAGACCGGUGCCAGCCGCCGCGGUAAUACCGGCAGCCCAAGUGAUGGCCGCUGUUAUUGGGCCUAAAGCGUCCGUAGCU